AUGGAUUUGUCAUAACACUUUUUUUACACUCCUUGGCCAUAACCAUUGUUUAUUCAUCCUUAUACUGUAGGUACAGAAGCCAGUCUUAAGAGAGAACCUCCUUCCAGUCACUCUGUAUAGUAAUCAAAGCCUGGUUUUGGAGAUGACAAGCACAGAGACAUCUUUAGGUAAGGCAGCAGCCAAAAGAAUUCAAAGUGGCUUUACACUUUUUCCAAUGAAGAUCAGGAGCAGACAGAUCCGAUCCACUCUCACCUGACUUCAGUUCUGGACAGCACACCCACAGUGACCUGAUCAAAUUCAUCAUGGAUGUCAUUUUUUCCAGAGAGUCCUUUAUCUGUGCCCUGGCUUUUGUGAAAAAUCUGUCCAUCCUGGAGGCUGAGGAGAACAACUUACAAAAGGUACUGUAAGGAUCCUAUAAAGGAAACAUGUCAGACAUGACAGCCUGCCAUUAUUCACAAAUAAAGCAAGGCAAGACAAGGCAUUUUUAUUUCUAGAGCACAUUUAAAACAGCAGCUGCUGA